CGGCGUGCCUAAUACAUGCAAGUCGAACGGUCUUUCUAUGGAAGCUUGCUUCCACUGAGAAGAUAGUGGCGAACGGGUGAGUAACACGUGGGUAACCUGCCCAUAAGAGGGGGAUAACAUCCGGAAACGGGUGCUAAUACCGCAUAGUUUUCUUGAUCGCAUGAUUGAGAAAGGAAAGAUGGCCUUUGUGCUGUCGCUUAUGGAUGGACCCGCGGCGUAUUAGUUAGUUGGUGAGGUAACGGCUCACCAAGACGAUGAUACGUAGCCGACCUGAGAGGGUGAUCGGCCACAUUGGGACUGAGACACGGCCCAAACUCCUACGGGAGGCAGCAGUAGGGAAUCUUCCGCAAUGGACGAAAGUCUGACGGAGCAACGCCGCGUGAGUGAAGAAGGCUUUUCCGGAUCGUAAAACUCUGUUGUCAGAGAAGAACAAGUUGGAGAGUAACUGCUCCAGCCUUGACGGUAUCUGACCAGAAAGCCACGGCUAACUACGUGCCAGCAGCUGC
rnacentral:rRNA from 1 species